rnacentral:rRNA from 1 species
CGAAGCACUUAUCUUCGAUUCUUCGGAUGAAGAGAUAUUUGACUGAGUGGCGGACGGGUGAGUAACGCGUGGGUAACCUGCCUCAUACAGGGGGAUAACAGUUAGAAAUGACUGCUAAUACCGCAUAAGCGCACGGAAUCGCAUGAUUCAGUGUGAAAAGCCGAGACGGUAUGAGAUGGACCCGCGUCUGAUUAGGUAGUUGGUGAGGUAACGGCCCACCAAGCCGACGAUCAGUAGCCGACCUGAGAGGGUGACCGGCCACAUUGGGACUGAGACACGGCCCAAACUCCUACGGGAGGCAGCAGUGGGGAAUAUUGCACAAUGGGGGAAACCCUGAUGCAGCGACGCCGCGUGAAGGAAGAAGUAUUUCGGUAUGUAAACUUCUAUCAGCAGGGAAGAAAAUGACGGUACCUGACUAAGAAGCCCCGGCUAACUACGUGCCAGCAGCCGCGGUAAUACGUAGGGGGCAAGCGUUAUCCGGAUUUACUGGGUGUAAAGGGAGCGUAGGCGGUCUGACAAGUCAGAAGUGAAAGCCCGGGGCUCAACCUCGGGACUGCUUUUGAAACUGCCGGACUAGAUUGCAGGAGAGGUAAGUGGAAUUCCUAGUGUAGCGGUGAAAUGCGUAGAUAUUAGGAGGAACACCAGUGGCGAAGGCGGCUUACUGGACUGUAAAUGACGCUGAGGCUCGAAAGCG